UACACGAGUGGCGCACGGGUGAGUAACGCGUAUGCAACCUACCUCUAACUGGGGAAUAGCCCUUCGAAAGGAGGAAUAAUACCCCAUAAUAUUUCGAUGAGACAUCUCAUCGUUCUUAAAACUCCGGUGGUUAGAGAUGGGCAUGCGUGACAUUAGUUUGUUGGUGAGGUAAAAGCUCACCAAGACUGCGAUGUCUAGGGGGUCUGAGAGGAUGAUCCCCCACACUGGUACUGAGACACGGACCAGACUCCUACGGGAGGCAGCAGUAAGGAAUAUUGGGCAAUGGGCGAAAGCCUGACCCAGCCAUGCCGCGUGCAGGAUGACAGCCCUAGUGGUUGUAAACUGCUUUUAUACGAGAAGAAAUGCUCCGACGUGUCGGAGUUUGACGGUAUCGUAAGAAUAAGCACCGGCUAACUCCGUGCCAGCAGCCGCGGUAAUACGGAGGGUGCAAGCGUUAUCCGGAUUCAUUGGGUUUAAAGGGUGCGUAGGCGGAAUAGUAAGUCAGUGGUGAAAUCCUACAGCUCAACUGUAGAACUGCCAUUGAAACUGCUGUUCUUGAGUAUAGUUGAAGUGGGCGGAAUGUGUCAUGUAGCGGUGAAAUGCAUAGAUAUGACACAGAACACCAAUUGCGUAGGCAGCUCACUAAGCUAUUACUGACGCUCAGGCACGAAAGCGUGGGUAGCGAACAGGAUUAGAUACCCUGGUAGUUCACGCCGUAAACGAUGAUUACUCGAUGCUGGCGAUAUACUGUCAGUGUCCAAGCGAAAGUGUUAAGUAAUCCACCUGGGGAGUACGAUCGCAAGAUUGAAACUCAAAGGAAUUGACGGGGGCCCGCACAAGCGGAGGAACAUGUGGUUUAAUUCGAUGAUACGCGAGGAACCUUACCUGGGCUUAAAUGCAAGAUGACAGACUGGGAAACCAGUCCUUCUUCGGACAACUUGCAAGGUGCUGCAUGGCUGUCGUCAGCUCGUGCCGUGAGGUGUCGGGUUAAGUCCCAUAACGAGCGCAACCCCUAUUCUUAGUUGCCAGCGGAUAAUGCCGGGGACUCUAAGAAAACUGCCCGCGCAAGCGGAGAGGAAGGUGGGGAUGACGUCAAGUCAGCACGGCCCUUACGUCCAGGGCAACACACGUGUUGCAAUGGCUGGUACAGAGGGCAGCUACCUGGUGACAGGAUGCUAAUCUCUAAAACCAGUCUCAGUUCGGAUCGAAGUCUGCAACUCGACUUCGUGAAGUCGGAUUCGCUAGUAAUCGCGCAUCAGCUAUGGCGCGGUGAAUACGUUCCCGGGCCUUGUACACACCGCCCGUCAAGCCAUGGAAGCUGGGGGUACCUGAAGUCGGUAACCGUAAGGAACCGCCUAGGGUAAAACUGGUAACUGGGGCUAAGUCGUAACA
rnacentral:rRNA from 1 species